rnacentral:rRNA from 1 species
UACGUAGGUGGCAAGCGUUGUCCGGAUUUACUGGGCGUAAAGAGCGCGCAGGCGGUCGUUCAAGUCGCGUGUGAAAGCCCCCGGCUCAACUGGGGAGGGUCCACGCGGAUACUGAUCGACUCGAAGGCAGGAGAGGGUAGUGGAAUUCCCGGUGGUAGUGGUGAAAUUCGUAGAUAUUAGGGAAGAACACCGGUGGGCGAAGGCGGCGAGCUGGCCUGUACCUGACGCUGAGGCGCGACAGCGUGGGGAGCAAACAGG